UACGGAGGGUGCAAACGUUGCUCGGAAUCAUUGGGCGUAAAGCGCACGUAGGUGGCCUGUUAAGUCGGGUGUGAAAUCCCUGGGCUCAACCCAGGAAGUGCACUCGAAACUGGCAGGCUUGAGUACUGAAGAGGGUCGCGGAAUUCCCGGUGUAGAUGUGAAAUUCGUAGAUAUCGGGAGGAACACCAGUGGCGAAGGCGGCGACCUGGGCAGAUACUGACACUGAGGUGCGAAAGCGUGGGGAGCAAACAGG
rnacentral:rRNA from 1 species